rnacentral:lncRNA from 1 species
UAUAUUAUAUUAUAUUAUAUUAAAAUUUAAAAAUAAAAUAAAAAGUGCAUAGCCUUUGCUUAAUGGUUGAGAGUUUUUGCAGCUUCGCUUGAACAGUGAUGGCCAUAUUACUGGAAUUGAGUAUUUGUCGGACCUUGUGGAAAAGAAACAUAAACAUGGUAAUGUCUUCCUUUUCUGUCUGACUCUCGUAUAAACUUUUUCCUCCUCACAUUAGUGAACUUUAAUUAUGCUUUUUGUUGGAUAAAAAUAUAUUAUAUGUUUAAUAACAUCGUUUAAAUGACUACUUUAACCAGAUGACCACAAAGACCAUCAUGAAGAUUCAGAUAACAAAACCCAUCUGCAAGG